AUUGAACGCUGGCGGCAUGCCUUACACAUGCAAGUCGAACGGCAGCGGGCCUUCGGGUGCCGGCGAGUGGCGAACGGGUGAGUAAUGCAUCGGAACGUGCCAUUGAGUGGGGGGAUAACGUAGCGAAAGUUACGCUAAUACCGCAUAUUCUGUGAGCAGGAAAGCAGGGGGACCGCAAGGCCUUGCGCUCUUUGAGCGGCCGAUGUCAGAUUAGCUAGUUGGUGAGGUAAAGGCUUACCAAGGCGACGAUCUGUAGCGGGUCUGAGAGGAUGAUCCGCCACACUGGAACUGAGACACGGUCCAGACUCCUACGGGAGGCAGCAGUGGGGAAUUUUGGACAAUGGGCGCAAGCCUGAUCCAGCCAUGCCGCGUGAGUGAAGAAGGCCUUCGGGUUGUUAAAGGCUC
rnacentral:rRNA from 1 species